GCGGGCGUAGCUCAAUGGUAGAGCCCUAGCCUUCCAAGCUAGUGAUGCGGGUUCGAUCCCCGCCGCCCGCU
rnacentral:tRNA from 1 species